rnacentral:rRNA from 1 species
AGAGUUUGAUCAUGGCUCAGGAUGAACGCUAGCGAUAGGCUUAACACAUGCAAGUCGAGGGGCAUCAGGAAUGGUAACAUUUGCUGGCGACCGGCGCACGGGUGAGUAACACGUAUGCAACCUACCUGUAACUGUGGAAUAACCCGUCGAAAGGCGGACUAAUACCGCGUAACAACGACAUCCCGCAUGGGGAGUUGUUUAAAGAUUAAUCGGUUACGGAUGGGCAUGCGCUCCAUUAGGCAGUUGGAGGGGUAACGGCCCACCAAACCCACGAUGGAUAGGGGUUCUGAGAGGAAGGUCCCCCACAUUGGUACUGAGACACGGACCAAACUCCUACGGGAGGCAGCAGUGAGGAAUAUUGGUCAAUGGGCGAGAGCCUGAACCAGCCAAAUCGCGUGAAGGAAGAAGGUAUUAUGUAUUGUAAACUUCUUUUAUCGGGGAAUAAAGUGCACCACGCGUGGUGUUUUGUAAGUACCCGAAGAAUAAGGAUCGGCUAACUCCGUGCCAGCAGCCGCGGUAAUACGGAGGAUCCGAGCGUUAUCCGGAUUUAUUGGGUUUAAAGGGUGCGUAGGCGGACUGUCAAGUCAGCGGUGAAAGUUUGCGGCUCAACCGUGAAAUUGCCGUUGAAACUGGCAGUCUUGAGUGUAGAUGAGGUGGGUGGAAUUCGUGGUAGCGGUGAAAUGCAUAGAUAUCACGAAGAACUCCAAUUGCGUAGGCAGCUCACCAGGCUACAACUGACGCUGAGGCACGAAGGUGCGGGGAUCAAACAGGAUUAGAUACCCUAGUAGUCC